rnacentral:rRNA from 1 species
GACGAACGCUGCCGGCGUGCUUAACACAUGCAAGUCGAACGAAAGGCCCCCACCUUUUUUGGUGGGGUGCUCGAGUGGCGAACGGGUGAGUAACACGUGGUGAUCUGCCCUGCACUUCGGGAUAAGCUUGGGAAACUGGGUCUAAUACCGGAUAGGACCAUGGUUUAGUGUCUCAUGGUGGAAAAAUUAUUGUUUUGGUGCAGGAUGAGCUCGCGGCCUAUCAGCUUGUUGGUGGGGUAAUGGCCUACCAAGGCGUCGACGGGUAGCCGGCCUGAGAGGGUGGACGGCCACAUUGGGACUGAGAUACGGCCCAGACUCCUACGGGAGGCAGCAGUGGGGAAUAUUGCACAAUGGGCGCAAGCCUGAUGCAGCGACGCCGCGUGGGGGAUGACGGCCUUCGGGUUGUAAACUCCUUUCGUUAGGGACGAAGCCACGCCUUUUUUGGGUGUGGUGACGGUACCUUUGUUAAGAAGCACGGCUA